UACAGAGGUCCCGAGCGUUGUUCGGAUUCACUGGGCGUAAAGGGUGCGUAGGUGGUGGGGUAAGUCUCGUGUGAAAGCUCGCAGCUUAACUGCGAAAAGUCACGGGAUACUAUCCGGCUAGAGGCUUGGAGGGGGGACUGGAAUACUUGGUGUAGCAGUGAAAUGCGUAGAUAUCAAGUGGAACACCAGUGGCGAAGGCGGCUCUCUGGGACGGUACUGACGCUGAGACGCGAAAGCGUGGGGAGCGAACAGG
rnacentral:rRNA from 1 species